UGCAGGGCCAGCUGAGAAGCAGCAGGAGCUCAACUGGUCAGAAAAGUCAUUUCCUGAGAUAAGAAAUGUAAAAUAAGUGCCAGUGGUGGAGACUUAAUUGCUGCAAAUCUGGAAGACUAUUUCCCUCUUCCUAAACAUCCAAUAUACAUGAAAAGGGAUUUAAGCGCUGAGGAAUUAUUAAAAAAAAAGUAAAAAUAAAAAACCAAGUUGCUGCUUCUUCAACUGGACAGCUCAGGUAAUUCUGGAUUAUUGCAGGAGAGGUGAUGGUGCCUAGAAGAGAAAUUUGGAUCUUCCAGAACAGGGUGGUUUUCUUGAGAAGGGUUCUGGAGGCAGCCUGGGAAAACACAGCCUGGAGGAUGAGUUGUUUUGGGUGGAGAAUGGCUUUUGCCAGGAUUUAUGUUGCCUUUAUGGAGACACAAGGAAUUCUUCUGACAAUUUAAGUCCCUGCACUGAACUCCAGCUGGAGAGCAGCAAUUCCAGCUCUGCUGUGUUUGGUUUUCCAUAAAAAACCUGGGAAAUGGAGCUGCUGGCUCCCUGGAACCAAUCAGAAACCUUGGGGAGAUUUUAAUUUUUAUUGGGGUUUUCUCUACGGGAUUUAUUUGGGUGUUUUUCUGUGUUGGUUUGGGUUUGGU
rnacentral:lncRNA from 1 species